rnacentral:rRNA from 1 species
UACAGAGGUCUCAAGCGUUGUUCGGAUUCAUUGGGCGUAAAGGGUGCGUAGGCGGCGCGGUAAGUCGGGUGUGAAAUCUUGGAGCUUAACUCCGAAACUGCAUUCGAUACUGCCGUGCUUGAGGACUGGAGAGGAGACUGGAAUUUACGGUGCAGCGGUGAAAUGCGUAGAUAUCGUAAGGAAGACCAGUGGCGAAGGCGAGUUUCUGGACAGUUACUGACGCUGAGGCACGAAGGCCAGGGGAGCAAACGGG